ensembl:lncRNA
GUGGGCUCUUCCCUGGAGCGGCGGGGAGAGGCUGGGCCCGCAGGGCCUUGUCCUUCAAGGAGCAGAGGAGGUGGGGGGGGCUCAGGGUCCGAGGUGACCCCUCCCCCGCACCAUAAACAAACAGACAAACAAACAGCGGUGGCUCGAGAAUUUAUACACGGAAGGGACUUGGGGCGCUCUUGCUGAAGGCAAGCUGGACCUGUGGAAGGUGCGUUUGCGUGGCAGGCACAUUUGGCCUGGGAGUAGGGGACCAGGGUCACGCACCUCUACUGUCCCUGGGUUGCACUGAGCUUCUUAACACGCCUAGACCCCUCCUUGGAGCUCCAGGCUCCAAUACCCAGCUUCCUGCUUGAUGUCUCUGUGUCCAAAAACAUCUCAAGUGCAUCAGAUCAUAGCUGAGGCUCGUGAAUCCAGUCCAAGCCUCUCCAUCGCUCGUCGUUUCAUCUCCACACAGGGUCCUCCAAUCCUCUACAUGCACUGAUCAACACAAGUUUGGGGACGGCCUGACCCCUGGCUGUCUCUUAUCAGACAAGCCCGCAGUGAAAACCUGUGGUUUGAUUUCCAGCAGAAAUCUCCAAUAUGUCUACCUCCUUCCCCCUCGGCUUCCUCCCCUCCAAGCCACUGCCAAGUUUCCCUGGCUUACUGCAACAGCCUUUGGACCAGUUCACCCAGGUUUAUUCUUACCCGCCAAGAUCUGCUCUCCAUCCACCAGCAGAACCAACUGAAACACGAGGAGCCACUAUUCCAGCACUCCAGCGGUUCUCCCUCAGUCCAAGUGUGAUUCUGAACUUCUCUCCUGCACUGCAGGCCCCUGCCUCCUUGUCCACUCAGACCCCUCUCGCUGCCCCUCCUCAGCAUUCUCCAGCCGAAGAGCCUUCGGCCUGUUCUGCAAGCAUUCUCAGUUCUUGAUGCCUCCCGGGCUGUGCAGACCUCACCUCCAACCCCGAAGGGUGAGUGCAGACCACUCUUCCACUGCUUCAGUCUGCUGGCUGGAAUUGCCUGAGUAUUGUCCACGUCCCCUGCAAGGCUGCAGAGCGAGAGAUCACCGCAAUGUGCAUGCUACCUAAGAAAUCCAUGCUGGGCCAGGAUUUAGCUCAGUGGUUUCGCUGCCUGCUUCGCAAUUGCAAGGACUCGAGUUCAAUCCCCCGUACCAAAAAAAAAAAAGAAAUCCAUGCUGAACGACAGGGCAGAUGCACAGGGAUGAGACAUCUUCCAGCUCUCAGCGAACCAGGCCCAAACUGCGCACCAUGAGAAGAUACUCCGAGGAGCCAGGUUGCUCAGCCGCUCCCUUGGUCUUAUCCCUUUGUUUUAAAAAUGUAUUUCUCUGGGUAUAUCUUAGCAGAAGAGCCUGUGCCUAGCACGGGCGCGGCCUUGGGCUUGACCCCCGACACACACAAACACAUACGGAAAAGGACAUGCAUAGAACUUUAGUGCAUACAUACGUAUUUUAAUGUGUUCUUUAGCAUAGGGAGCAUAGGUUCACAGCAUACAAUUUAAAAGGCACAAAAGAAUGUAUAUUGAGAACUCUUUCGGAUUCCUGCUCUUUCCUGCCCCACAGCAACCCCCUCAGAGGCACCAUAGUUACAAUUUAUUUUCUUGUAAGCCUUCUGGAAAUAAUUUAUGCACAAAUAAAUACAUAAAAGCUCUUGCCCUCCUGGCUCAAAUGGCAGCAUUCCACACAUCCUGCUCUGCACCUUCGUUCUUUAAGUUAAAAGGAGAUUGUGAAGCUGAUAAUCUACAUGUGCAUCAAGAGCCCCCUUUCUUUUUUGUGGCUUCGUACUAUUUCAUCAUAGGAAGUCAUGUCAUGACUGAUUUAAUACCCUCACACAUGGAUGUUUCAGUUGUUCCCAUCUUUUGGUGCAUGGUGCAAUGAAGAAUCUUGAAUUUAGCAGGACACUUUGGUGCUUGCCUGUAAUCCCAGCAUUGGGAGGAAGACUGAGGCAGGAGGAUGGAGCUCAAGGCUGGCCUGGGCUGUGUAGUGAGACCCUGUCUCAAAAAAUAUGAUUAAACACAAACAAAAUUUACACAAUUUUUUGUGCACGUGCUACAGAUGGAACCCAUGGAGGUGUGCAUGCUAAGCACUGGCUCUACUACUGAGGCACUCCCAGCCUCGGCCGUUUACACACUGACAGUGCUGAGCCUGUCUGCAUUGUGGCAGCCUCUGUUAGGCCCCAGCAUUAGUGAGGAUAAGCUAGUGGCAGGCCCAGUUGGGGCCCUCGGGGGACUCAAUGAAUCACCCCUCUGGCUGCUGCAGCUCCUGGAUUAUAGACAUGGAAACAGGGAGGGCACACAGAGCAGCAGAGGUGAGUCUGAGGUGCUCCAGGAAGACCCUAGGAACGGGCCAGGAUGCAGAGGGCACCGGCAGGCGACUCCCGGCUGCCAAGGUGCAACCUGGCGGCCGGCAGAGGUGGAGGGCUAGGGGCUGCUCUGCAGGCGGGAAGGCCUGGUGAGGACCUGG